CUGUUGAGCUUGACUCUAGUCCGA
rnacentral:ncRNA from 3 species